AACGAACGCUGGCGGCAUGCCUAAUACAUGCAAGUCGAACGAGAUCUUCGGAUCUAGUGGCGCACGGGUGCGUAACGCGUGGGAAUCUGCCCUUGGGUUCGGAAUAACUUCGGGAAACUGAAGCUACUACCGGAUGAUGACGUAAGUCCAAAGAUUUAUCGCCCAAGGAUGAGCCCGCGUAGGAUUAGCUAGUUGGUAAGGUAAAGGCUUACCAAGGCGACGAUCCUUAGCUGGUCUGAGAGGAUGAUCAGCCACACUGGGACUGAGACACGGCCCAGACUCCUACGGGAGGCAGCAGUAGGGAAUAUUAGACAAUGGGGGCAACCCUGAUCCAGCAAUGCCGCGUGAGUGAUGAAGGCCUUAGGGUUGUAAAGCUCUUUUACCCGGGAUGAUAAUGACAGUACCGGGAGAAUAAGCCCCGGCUAACUCCGUGCCAGCCGCCGCGGUAA
rnacentral:rRNA from 1 species